rnacentral:misc_RNA from 1 species
UCCGGCUUAUCACCGGCAGUUUCCUUAGAGUGCCCAACUAAAUGAUGGCAACUAAGGACGAGGGUUGCGCUCGUUGCGGGACUUAACCCAACAUCUCACGACACGAGCUGACGACAGCCAUGCAGCACCUGUGUUCCCGCCAGCCGAACUGAAGGAUCCCAUCUCUGGAACCCAUACGGGACAUGUCAAGGGCCGGUAAGGUUCUUCGCGUUGCUUCGAAUUAAACCACAUGAUCCACCGCUUGUGCGGGCCCCCGUCAAUUCCUUUGAGUCUUAGUCUUGCGACCGUACUUCCCAGGCGGGGUACUUAUUGCGUUAGCUCCGGCUCUACAGGGGUCAAUUCCCAUAAAGCCUAGCACCCAUCGUUUACGGCGUGGACUAC